GCUACAGCUGAAGUGAUGGAGACGGCGGGCGCGCUGUGUCUGAGCCGGUUCCGAGCCCAGCGGUUGUUGCUAAACAACCAGCCCUGACGCUUGAGAUGUCAACGAGUGCAAUCCCUACCCCAAGCCAUCACAGUCCUGCUAACGCUCAACCACUGUCUGAGGGAGAAGAAGGCAAAGGAGAAAAGCCCCAAACCGCAGCACUUUCCCUUCCGCCAUGGUCUGCAGCUCUGACACGUCAUCGUCGCGAGCGGACGGCGGAACGACACCUCGGGGAGCACCCCUGGAUGUGAGGGCUGGCACCCACCACCUCGAGGAGUUACCCAGCUCCUGCCUGCCUGUGCCCGAGGGACACCUGGAAUCCUGAGAUACGAGCGUCUGAAGAGCCUGAGCUAUUUUGGGAUUUGUCUGUACUACACUGAAAAUGACACCUGUUACGCACAGACACAAAUGAGAAGAAUUACAAGCUCCUGGUUCCUCAGAUGUGAUUCUGCAGAAAAUGGAAUGAGAUCCUGCGAGGCAGGGACCUGGGAGAGCAGCACAGGCAGUGCUGUGGGGUGAAGGGGAUGACCCCGGUGAACUGAACAGCCAGACACCAGUACAAAAAAAUAUAAAAAGUCUGUUGGAGCUGAUGCAAGGGGAAAUCAAGCCUCCAUGUGACCAGAAGAAGUAGUGCAUGAUCAACUAAAUGCCACAAUACAUGGUUUCUUAUGCAAUCAAACCCAUGGGAGUUCAAGCCUUGCACAUACACUUUGUGGCCAGAGCUGCGAGGAUUAACUCCUUCGGUUAACAACGGCGAGAGCGCCCGGCUCCUGAAAUGAGUCACCCUCGCUGAAGUAGGCCAGUGUUUGCUGCCAUGGGAAGCUGCCUGUGCUGGUUUCAGUUACCCCCCUGAGUUAUCUCAGAAGCUCCAACGUGCAGGGUCAGGGCGGAUUUUCCACGUUCCCCGUUUUCCCCGCUGGUUUGCACCGCCCCAGCUCUGUGCAGGCAGAGGGGCCACCUCGCUGGACCCACCAGCACCACGGAGCUCUGAACGUGACUGAGCGAGGUAAAAAACACUUGGAGCCUCAGGAAGGGGACAGCUGACUGGUGCUUUUAGCUCCCAGCGGUUUUAUCAGUCGUGUGGUGUAUUAAGAAGGUAAAAUGAAGCUUUGAUUUAUUUGAAAUUACCUCUUUUUGGUUGCUUGCAUGGGAAAGGUGGCAUGCAUCUUAUGGUUUGCUUUCAUUUGAAAAUCUCCAAUCCUGAGGAAUGUUUCUACCUUUACCUGGCUGUGAGUACCUUCUGGUGGCACUCAGGCUCCCAAGAAGACUCAAAGCCAACACUGCCCUGUGUGCAACUAAGUGUGUAACUAAGAAGACCUGGCACAGUGGAAAACUUCAGCACUUGGAACUGAGUAAAGAGGUCCCAAAAAAAUUAAAGUCAUGUUCUGGCGCUGUUUCUGUAAAGAAAUAGAGGCCAUCAUUCCAUAGUAGAAAUUUAGUCUGCUUUUCAAAGUGGAGCCCACAUACUUAUUUUCGACUUUUUGCCUUUUUUUUUUUUUUUUUUUUUUCCCCUCCAAAGUCUAAAAGCAGGAAACAGAGCUUUGGUUUUGUAAAAACUGCCUAUGAGGGUGCAAAGUCCUGGGCUAGAAAGCAAGCUUGGUAAAUGGAAAUAUUCCACAGCCACGGUUGGAAGCAGAAUGAUCAGUAUCACCGUGUGAAUGGCAGUGUGAGAAUCCAUUCCAAAAGGAGGGCUCGCAGCUGAUCACAGCUGGGCCAUGGGUUAAAAAAAAAAAUAAAAAAACUUUUUAUAGUGUAGGCACUGUAACAAGAUUUCACAACUUGUAACUGCAGCGCUUCAGGCUGGAUGUCGGGGGGAACAUUUUUUCUUGAGGAGCGUGGGAAGGAUUGGAACCCCCCAGACACCAAAAGCCUGCUGUCAUUGACAAGAAGGAUCAGGGAGCAAUUCCUCAGUGAGCACAGGAAGUGUGGGCUUGCACUGCUUCUGGGCCAAACUGUACCUAAAGGUUCAUCCUCAGUUCUCCGGCGUCUCCCGUGCCGUUCUCUGCUGUCACACUGCGAUGACCUUAAUAGCAAUAACACAUGGAGGCUGACAUUCCAAACAUCUCCCCCUCUCCUGCACAUCACUGUUGCUCUGGUGGGUGAUAAAACAACCUCUGCCAUCCACUGAGGAAGGCCCUUGGUCUUUUUCACGAUGAAGGAAACCCUCGUGGUCCUGCCCCGCGCUUCCAGCUUCCUGCUGGCGAAGCCUUGGCUCGGCUCGCGGAUUAAAUGCCAUCGGCCACACCUUCCUCCACUGCAGGAAACACAUUGUUAAAAUCAGGGCAUGUUCCUGUUUAACUAAAAGGCUGAGAUAAAUAAUCCAAAGGCCCCGAUUAUGCCAAACAAAUUCCUGCCCGAGACGCAGCAAGCCCGGGCAGCUGUAAAUCUGUGACCCCUCGGCCUCGGCAUCCACGUAAGUGACGUCUUGGCACAUCAGCAGGGGAGAGGCUGGGGAUAAAGGGAGGGAGCCAAGAGUCGGGCAAAGGUGGACGGGGAGAAUGGAAAAGUUCCUUCCCUUGAGCAAUCUGGAGUCCGAAAAGUUGCUUUAAAAUGCAAACUAGUCCGUUUUUCAGGUGUUGAUGUAGGGAGGGCUCUUUUUUUUAAGACCUUUUAUUUGUCAGCCUUACAAAGAACUCACCACCUCUGUGAAAUGACUGUUUCCAACAAAAUUCUGUGUCGGCACAGAAUUCUCAGCCAGCUCCAUUCAGGGAAUACCAUCAGAAACAGGGACGUGUAGCCCAUCUGCCAGGACUAUUUCCCCUAAGCCUCACCGAUCAGAGGGUAGUUAAUUUUUAAAUUUUUCUUUCGACUGUUGAAAUAAAAAAAAAUCAUCCUUUAAAAAACCCCAUAAUUAACUCUUUGCUGCGGCAAAACAAUUGUCUGCAUUGACCAGGAAUAAAGUAAUUUUAGUUGUUGCUUGGGGAAACUGGCAAGUUUUUCAUGUUUUCUUUUUAAAAUCAAUAUAAUUUUGCAUAAGGGAAGGCUGAGUAAAAUAAAGGUUAAAUAAUUUGACCCACGUUGUAUGUGGGAUCAGGGUCAAAGCUGACAGGGCGUUCCUUGCUCCCAGAUUUUAUUCAAGUUAUAGUCCUUAUUCAAUUAUAGUUCUUUAUUGUCCAGAAGGCCCCCAAUCAAUUGAG